rnacentral:rRNA from 1 species
ACGACGCUGGCGGCGUGCCUAACACAUGCAAGUCGAGCGAGGAGAUUCCUCGGGAUGAUCCUAGCGGCGGACGGGUGAGUAACACGUGGGCAACCUGCCUCAUAGAGAGGAAUAGCCUUCCGAAAGGGAGAUUAAUACCUCAUAACAUUGCAGUUUCGCAUGGAACAGCAAUUAAAGGAGUAAUCCGCUAUGAGAUGGGCCCGCGGCGCAUUAGCUAGUUGGUGAGGUAACGGCUCACCAAGGCGACGAUGCGUAGCCGACCUGAGAGGGUGAUCGGCCACAUUGGGACUGAGACACGGCCCAGACUCCUACGGGAGGCAGCAGUGGGGAAUAUUGCACAAUGGGGGAAACCCUGAUGCAGCCAACGCCGCGUGAGUGAUGACGGCCUUCGGGUUGUAAAGCUCUGUCUUCAGGGACGAUAAUGACGGUACCUGAGGAGGAAGCCACGGCUAACUACGUGCCAGCAGCAGC